AGAGCGAACGCUGGCGGCAGGCUUAACACAUGCAAGUCGAGCGCCCCGCAAGGGGAGCGGCAGACGGGUGAGUAACGCGUGGGAACGUACCUUUGGUUCGGAACAACACAGGGAAACUUGUGCUAAUACCGGAUAAGCCCUUACGGGGAAAGAUUUAUCGCCGAAAGAUCGGCCCGCGUCUGAUUAGCUAGUUGGUGAGGUAACGGCUCACCAAGGCGACGAUCAGUAGCUGGGUCUGAGAGGAUGAUCAGCCACAUUGGGACUGAGACACGGCCCAAACUCCUACGGGAGGCAGCAGUGGGGAAUAUUGGACAAUGGGCGCAAGCCUGAUCCAGCCAUGCCGCGUGAGUGAUGAAGGCCCUAGGGUUGUAAAGCUCUUUUAACGGGGAGAUAAUGACGGUACCCGUAGAAUAAGCCCGGCUAACUUCGUGCCAGCAGCCGC
rnacentral:rRNA from 1 species